UUGAAAUGUCAGUCUCAUUUAAAUAUUAACAACUGCUUCAUUGAAAAUCAAAGAUCUUGCCAGUAUGGCAAAUCUGGAUCAACUUGCUAGGGUUGACCAGUUGAUAAUGCGCAUGGAAGACCAGUCAUCUGAGACCCGUUAUAAAAUUAUUGUGGAAAAUAGUGCAGGCCAAAAACUCUUUUACCCUGGCAAAGUCUCCGGUCGUUUUAGCCGCAACAUUUACCUCUCAUUUCAAGCUUUCAAUCUAAAAAUUUUAGAUAAUUUCAAAAAUGAAGUGAUUCAUCUACACCGUCCUGCAUUGUGUUCUUCGCUUAGCUGCGGUUUAUUCUUAGACCUAUACAUUUUAGCACCGCCUGACACAUUUGUAGGAAAAAUUGAAGAAAAAUGUAGACUUUGUGGCCCAAAAUUCGGGAUUAAAGAUGCAAGUGGCAAAAAGUUGUUCACAAUAAAAGGACCGUUUUGUAUAUGUUGUCCUAAAAAUAUCGAAUUCAAAAUACUAUCGGCUGAUGGAAAGACACAAGUGGGAAUAAUUUCCAAACAAGCACACACUAAAUGUCUGAGGAUAUCCUUUCCUAAGGAUAUGGAUGUAAGAAUGAAGGCAGUUAUGGUAGGAGCUUGCUUUUUAAUUUUGGCUGCGUUCUCCAACGUAAACAUAGAUCGAUUAUGGCAAUACCAUUAUUCUUAAGUUACUGAUUGUGAAAUUGCUCUUGGCCGAUAACGUCAUCGCAACUUAAGCUUUUGUAAAUGCUGUUACAAUAUUUGGAUUACUGGAUGUAAAAGCGGUAAACAUGAAUGACGAAAGUGGAGACUCAUUCGGGA